GACAGCAGCAGCCGCGGGAAUACGAAGGGUGCAAGCGUUAAUCGGAAUUACUGGGCGUAAAGCGUGCGUAGGCGGUGAGUUAAGUCUGCUGUGAAAUCCCCGGGCUCAACCUGGGAAUGGCAGUGGAUACUGGCUCGCUAGAGUGUGUCAGAGGAUGGUGGAAUUCCCGGUGUAGCGGUGAAAUGCGUAGAGAUCGGGAGGAACAUCAGUGGCGAAGGCGGCCAUCUGGGACAACACUGACGCUGAGGCACGAAAGCGUGGGGAGCAAACAGGAUUAGAUACCCCGGUAGUCCCUGUCUCUUAUAA
rnacentral:rRNA from 1 species